rnacentral:rRNA from 1 species
GACGAACGCUGGCGGCGUGCUUAACACAUGCAAGUCGAGCGGUAAGGCCCUUUCGGGGUACACGAGCGGCGAACGGGUGAGUAACACGUGGGUGACCUGCCCUCAGCUCUGGGAUAAGCCUGGGAAACCGGGUCUAAUACCGGAUAUGACUCCAUGACGCAUGUUGUGGGGUGAAAGCCUUGUGCGGCUGAGGAUGGGCCCGCGGCCUAUCAGCUUGUUGGUGGGGUGAUGGCCUACCAAGGCGACGACGGGUAGCCGGCCUGAGAGGGCGACCGGCCACACUGGGACUGAGACACGGCCCAGACUCCUACGGGAGGCAGCAGUGGGGAAUCUUGCGCAAUGGGCGAAAGCCUGACGCAGCGACGCCGCGUGAGGGAUGACGGCCUGUGU